GAAAGUCACCAAGUAGGGAAAUAACCAGGAAUCUUCGUGAUAAACUAGUAUAUAAGGAAGGUCGCAGUUCCAACAAAGAUAUCAUUCCCACUUUCACCAACAAUAACAAAGAUAUAUAGCCAAAAAUUCAAACACUUAGGCACACUUAGUACCACUGCUGUCUGCUUGUAUUAUAUUUUUUCCUUUUAUAAUUUGUUCUUUGUUCAAUUUAACUUGUUCUUGUUCGAUUUAGGUUAUAUGUUUAAAUCUUGUGUAACAAAUCGGGACCGUUUAAUUUAAAUAGAUGGUCGAAAUUAUAUUUACUUAAUUUUAUUAUAUAUAAUCUGAACCGUUUAGUUUGAAAUCAAUGGUUAUGAUUGCUUACUGCAGCAAACUGUGUUGUUUUUCAACCGCAGCUGGCAAUCGACAUCCCAAAGAGAUAUGUAAAAACAUUUGAUUUUUUUUUUUUUUAAAAUACUCCUCUUAUAUUAAGUGUUUAUACAAUUUUUGUGGUAUGGUUUUUGGUCACUCUUUGGUUACCCUUUUCAAUUGAAAUUGAACAAAGAAAUAUCAAACAAUAUUUUAUUUGCAUUAAUUAAGGUCUCCAUUUGCUCCUAAUUCAUCUGACAAUGACUUUUUGUUCAUUUUUGUGUUUUUAUUUCUGAUUAUUUCUUUUGGUGAAGAUGUGGUAGCAUGGAUUUCAGAAUUUGUACAUGGUGAUGAUGGAAAUAUAGUAAUGAGAGAUUUUAUGGAUAAGGAUUUGCAGUACAAAGUUCCCCUAAUUCUUAGUAUUUGAAAUUGUUGUCUUUGUUUUUGGUACAUUGUUGUCUUUGUUUUUUAUGCAUUCAUAUUCUUUUUUUGGUACAUAUUCCACAUUCAUAUUUUAAUUUAUUUGUUAAUAUAUUAAAUGCUGACAUCUUGCUUCUGCCACUUGAAGAAAACAAUAGUGAUGCUCACUAAAAGGCCUUGGUUGGUA
rnacentral:lncRNA from 1 species